UGCUGUUUCGGAUAUCUGCGUUUUCCUGAAUUUCCUUAUUAAUAGCUUACUUCUCUUCCUAUAGGCUUGGCUUGACAUAACCCAUCUGGAUCAUGUCUACAAAGGAAACAAACUGCAUACAUUUUUGCUGCAAAAGAUAACAAACCCCACAAAUUUUCAGUAGUGGAUAACUAAGAAAUGAACCUCACUGGACAAAAAUUAUAAGAACUACGAAAGUCUGAGUUUCUGAAAUUGAAGAAGAGUUCCAGCUAGACCUUCCUAUUGUAAUCUGCAGUAAGAAGCACCCUCAUGGACAAUGAUGUUAAGAAUAUGGGGAGAAAAGCAUUUGAUGGAUGAGUGUGAUUUUUACCUGGCAUGAUGGCAGCAUGUGAGCAAGGACAAUGCCAACAUGGCCCUGGAGAAGGCAGAAAAAGAAACAAGUUAACUCGGGUCCUUAAUGCUUUCUUCUCAUUCUGAGACAUCAGUCUUGCCAAAUAAAAACAUGACUCUGAAUGUAAUACAGUAAAGUCACAUAGUCGGGGGAAGGCUGAAGAGAAUAAGAGGAGAGACAUAAUACCCCGCCGCUGCAGAAAUCCACAAUUCUGUCACCGGGUUUGGCCUGACUUGUCACCACAUAAACAAGGUUGUUUAACUGCUGUUGCUUCCUUAAAGCGCGAUCACUGGACAUUUUGCCUGGGGAAGACAAGAAGUGAAGACAAUGAAAUGGUAGGCAUUGUGAGAGAGUGAGAAGGCACUCAGAGAAUGGAUGGCCGGCGUCCAGGAAGAGGGGUGAAUAUAUAAAUGAGUUACAAAUUCCACAUAAUCCAUGAGGAGAGGACCAGAGACCUGGAACCCAGAAAUGAAAUCUCUCUAUGCAUAUUUUUACUUUUAUUCACAUCCAAUUUUUCUUUCGAUUGUCAUUGAAAAAACAUCUUCUAGAGAGGAAACAAUAAGUGAAAUAUUAAUCGCAGAGUCAUACACAAAGUGCUGAGUAAAUGUUUACUGGAUGAAUAAAAGUUAAGAGUCACAGUCCCUUCCCUCUAUCUCUACCAGAGACAUAUUGCAAAGAUUACCUAAUUCUAGCUCAUUGUUUAAAUCUCCUUGGACAAAACAGAUUUAUAAUAAAUAAAAACAUUCUUACUAUUUAA